rnacentral:lncRNA from 1 species
GCGAAAAUUAUAAGUUAGAAUAGGUACAAAUGCACUUCAUAAAAAUGUGUAUCAGAUGGGAAGUAAUAUAAUAAGUAAUAAAAUUAUAAGUUAGAAUAGGUACAACUAUUAAUUGUUGCUUUCAAUUUUGUCAAAAAUUAGUGGACCUUUACACAAAAAUGCAAGAUACAAAGCACGUGACAUGAACUUGGUUAAAAUGUGAUAAAAAUAAUUAAAAAUAACCUGGCUAAAAAUGAAGAACUAAAUGAGGACCAACAAAGAAAAAUAGAAGAGGGAAUAAGUAAGAAAAAAACCAGAUGAAUGAGAGUGAAAGCUCAAAUUGGAAAAGAUUAGCCUUCCAUUUUUCAUUUUGUAAUUUCCCUCGUGUCUUUGUUGGUUACAUAAAAGAUUUGAAGGAGGUUUUCAAAGAAGAUAUGUGAUCAACCAAAACUUAAAAAAAGAAAAUACCUUUGAUACUAUUCUUCAACAAUAUCACUAUCCAAUGAAUUAUAGAAUCAUGUGCCGCAAAACACAGUGUGUAAGAAUGAUGUUAAUGUAGAAUGGUUUUUUCAGUAAACAAAAUGAUGCAAGCAGUUCAUGGUUUAAAUAUAAUUAAAUAAAAGAGAAAAUCCAUCAAGGC